rnacentral:rRNA from 1 species
UACGUAGGGGGCAAGCGUUGUCCGGAAUCAUUGGGCGUAAAGAGCGUGUAGGCGGCCCGAUAAGUCCGCUGUGAAAGUCCAGGGCUCAACCCUGGAAUGCCGGUGGAUACUGUCGGGCUCGAAUCCGGAAGAGGUGAGUGGAAUUCCUGGUGUAGCGGUGAAAUGCGCAGAUAUCAGGAGGAACACCAGCGGCGAAGGCGGCGCUCUGGGCCGGUACUGACGCUGAGGAGCGAAAGCGUGGGGAUCAAACAGG